rnacentral:lncRNA from 1 species
CGUUACCUCCUGUCAUGGCUAAUAACUAUUUACUAGCCAAUGAGUUCAAGAACAAAGAGAAAGAAGAAGAAGAGAGGGAGGAUAACGAGGAAGAAGCAUGUGUGCUGGAAUGUGAAGAAGGCCAAACUUCUAGAGGGGCCUACAAUGGUGAAGAGGAUGAUGGUAUGACGGACAUCGAAGAGGAAAUUGAUCUGGAAGCAGAAAGAAGAAAGAGAGGAGUAUCGCACAAUACUCUGUUGAAGCAACUACAUCGAGAGGGAGUUCGUGAAGUGGACUUGUUGGGGGAACCAUCUGGGCGUUCUUUCGAUUAUUACGUGCUGUACGGGACGCCCAAGAGGAAAAAGAGAGUACCUCGCUCUGAAAGGUAUGGAUCACCUCCAAGAAUAAUGCCUCCUCCCACAGGUUGGGUAACCGAAG